rnacentral:rRNA from 1 species
UACGUAGGGUGCGAGCGUUAAUCGGAAUUACUGGGCGUAAAGCGUGCGCAGGCGGUUCGUUAAGUCUGAUGUGAAAGCCCCGGGCUCAACCUGGGAAUGGCAUUGGAAACUAGCGAGCUCGAGUGUGGCAGAGGGGGGUGGAAUUCCACGUGUAGCAGUGAAAUGCGUAGAGAUGUGGAGGAACACCGAUGGCGAAGGCAGCCCCCUGGGCUAACACUGACGCUCAGGCACGAAAGCGUGGGGAGCAAACAGG